CCUUUCCUCACAGAGCUGCCAUCAAACUUCGCGGCGUGUCAUUAAUGGAAAUGAAAUAUGUCCUGUUUUGCUUUAUGAUGAAGUACAAAGUCUGGUGUGUGGAGAUGUUUUCUAAUUUCGUAUGGAGCAGCGGAGAGGUCACAAAAGGAGUUUGCUGCUGUGUACUUUCAACUCAGUCUGCAAGAAAAUCAUAUAAUGCCUGCUAACCAGCAUCAGCACUUGGAAGAGACAAAGGCCUUGAUGUUGAGGAGAGCCUGGUGCCGGUAGUUGGUCACCUAAGGGAAUCCACUUAUGACUCUAUUACCCAGUAAAUUAGCAGAGCGGUUCAGUCAGGUAUAUUUAUCAUGAAGAGAACUGAAGAUAAUUAAUACACUGCAUUGAAUGCAAAUUGCACCCACAGCACUUAUCUCAUUUUCAAUUAGCACAAAUGUUACAGCACUGCAGGCUUGUUAUGGUUUUACCAUGGGCUGGGUAAUUAAUUUCUGUGAGCUACAUAUCAGACACCUGAUAAUGCCGUUUAUUAAUAAAUGUCACCCCAGGUAUCUGUUAGGAGAGGUAAAUAAAUUAAAUGUUCAGUUGUCUGCCCUGUGCAAAUCUAUUCUUACACCUCAUUGCAUCUUUUCACUUGUUUGUUUAUCAACGAGAAUGACUACGGAGAUUACAAUGGCAAACAAAGGAAUAUGAGGAACAAUAAUCUGCACCGAAAAGCACUGUUCUCUCAGUGGCAGCCCAAUGCCGAUGGCAGCAGCAGGCCACGGCCGUGCCUCUCCCACCUGCACAGGCCUCAGGUAACCAGGUAACCUUCCUGCUGGGGACACAGGCCCCACUGCAGGAGGGAAGCUGAAGCACAUGCAAAUCCUCCAUUUUUAAGGAAUUGGACAACCACUUAUUGGUAUAUACUACUGUCCCUAGUAUCCCUCAGAGCGAUUUAACCACUCCUGCCAGAGACCAUGGUUAAAGCUGCAGGUGAACCUGCCUGCUCGUCCUCACCACCUGGGGGAUGUGGCCAUGCUGUGCUGUGGUACCUCAGAGCUGGGGGCAGCAAGGAGUAGGCCGCUCAAGACUCUGGGAAACUGGAGAAGCAGGGGGUGGUACAACUUCUGUAGGCUGGUGGAAGAUAAAGGGAAGGUCCUUCUGCAGGAAUGUGGCUGGAUACAGCUGCUCGAGCCCUGCUGUGGAUCUGGUCCAGAACCCCUUUGUGCUGGAGUUUUCCACCGGUAAAAUGCAGAGAGUGUCCUUGUAUAUCCAAGAAGUUCAGAUAUGAUGCUCCAUUAUUGGCACCGAGCUCUGUGCCAGGGAUGCAUCGCUGCUUGUGCUUGGAAAUGGUCAUUUCUGAAGUGCCAAUGAUCUGAGCUGCGUCGAGGUCCAUGUUUACAUCAUACAUCUCAAGCUGCAGCUGCUGUGGAUCCUCUUGUUUGGUGGAACUCUGUUACUUUGGUAUCUUGGCUGUUCAUCUGGCUCGGGUUGCUUCCUCCUCAAUACGUGUUCCACUCAUGAGGCGGGUGAUCCAAAACCCAUUGAAGUAAAUGGAAAAAUUGCCACUGAUUGAAUUAUUUCACAUCUGCACUCCCUGGCUCUACCAGCUUCUUCCAUUGUCCACACAUCCUGAUUCACAAAUGUUUUAAAUCACAGCUUUAGGAACAUGAAAGCCUUUGGGGCAAUGGCCUAAAGACACAGCAGAGGGUAAAAUCUGUGAGCAUUAUCGUGCUUUAGCUGUAGUACUCGCAUUAAUCAGUACUGAGCAUCUAACUGAAAAGCCUGCCUAGUUAGGCAGGGGAAGCUUAUAUUUCACACAAUCAGGCACACAGGCAGCCCCCGGCCCACAGUAUAGUUCAUCAGGAGGCUUAUUUGCUUCCAAAUGCAAACUGAACAGCAUCUUUGUUUUGCCAAAGGAUUUGGUUUGCUUUGCUAUUUCCAUUCCUCUUCCUUGUGAGUGGAGGGCAGUAACAACACCAAUGGCCCAAGUAUGUGAU